rnacentral:rRNA from 1 species
AUUGAACGCUGGCGGCAGGCCUAACACAUGCAAGUCGAGCGAGCGGCGGACGGGUGCGUAAUGUCUGGGCAACUGCCUGAUGGAGGGGGCUAACUACUGGAAACGGUAGCUACUACCGCAUACCAUCAGAUGUGCCCAGAUGGGAUUAGCUAGCCGGUGGGGUAACGGCUCACCUAGGCGACGAUCCCUAACGGGGCUGAGAGGAUGAACGGCCACACUGGAACUGAGACACGGUCCAGACUCCUACGGGAGGCAGCAGUGGGGAAUAUUGCACAAUGGGCGCAAGUCUGAGGCAGCCAGGCCGCGUGUAUGAAGAAGGCCUUCGGGUUGUAAAGUACUUUCAGCGGGGAGGCGUUACCCGCAGAAGAAGCACCGGCUAACUCCGUGCCAGCAGCCGCGGUAAUUC